CAACCAGAUUUAAACCUAACACGAGGCAGAGUGGUCGCUUUUAGACACACAGAGAAGUUCUUUAAUAAAGUCGACACGUCAACGGUGUUCAUAGAGGUCUAAGUGUCCACAGGGGUCUAGGUGUUCACAGGGGUCUAGGUGUUCACAGGGGUCUAGGUGUUCACAGGGGUCUAGGUGUUCACAGGGGUCUAGGUGUUCACAGGGGUCUAGGUGUUCACAGGGGUCUAGGUGUUCACAGGGGUCUAGGUGUUCACAGGGGUCUAGGUGUUCACAGGGGUCUAGGUGUUCACAGGGGUCUAGGUGUUCACAGGGGUCUAGGUGUUCACAGGGGUCUAGGUGUCCACAGGGGUCUCGGUGUUGUUGUUCACUGGGGUUUAUAAAUCAUCAUUACAUGAGCAAAUUUAAAAGCUGCUUCAAGUUUUCACACUUACAGAAACAAAGUGUGAAAACAACAACUCAUGCUGAACAUUUUGUACUCCAUUUUCAAGGAAACAUCAGGCCUGUGUUGACAUCAUUACUUUGACAAAACUGCAAAAAAAUUAAACCUAGCCUUGCCAAACUUUAACCAUCAGAUUCUACUGAUGUUAGAGCCUCAACAUUUGGAGAAAUGUGGACCAAAGACUGGAUUUUAGUAGAAACAUGGAUCCAUCCAUAGAUAUACACUUACAGGAACUUUAUGGAGACACUAGACCAGUCUAGUUUGAAAGUGUUGCCUGUUUUUCCAUUUUCAAGGACUAAUAAUUAUUAAUUUUUGUCAUUUUCAUCUUAUUGUGGUCAAAUUUUGACUUAAUACAUGAUUUCAAGUCAUUUUGGACACAUUUUUACUCAUUUGUGUCUUAUUCUUCAUCUGUGAUGCUUUGUGUCGUGUUUUUGUUGUUUUGUGUCUUGUUUGUGUUAUUUUAUGAUCAUUUUAGAGGAGUUUUAGUGAUUUUGGACAAGUUUCUCGUCAAAAUAUCUAAAAACUGGAACCUUCUCUGGUCCAACUUUAACCAUCAGAUUCUACUGAUGUUAGAGCCUCAACAGUUGGAGAAAUGUGGACCAAAGACUGGAUUUUAGUAGAAAUAUGGAUCCAUCCAUAGAUAGACACUUACAGGAACUUUAUGGAGACACUAGACUAAUCUAGCUUGAAAAAUUUUGAACAAUUUCAAGCACUUUUGGACAAAUUUGUCCCAUUAUCAACACAUUUCCCAGGAGAAAGGUAGAAGUGUG